rnacentral:rRNA from 1 species
UGGGGAAUUUUGGACAAUGGGCGAAAGCCUGAUCCAGCCAUGCCGCGUGAGUGAAGAAGGCCUUCGGGUUGUAAAGCUCUUUUAGUCGGAAAGAAAGAGUCGCAAUGAAUAAUUGUGAUUUAUGACGGUACCGACAGAAAAAGCACCGGCUAACUACGUGCCAGCAGCCGCGGUAAUACGUAGGGUGCGAGCGUUAAUCGGAAUUACUGGGCGUAAAGGGUGCGCAGGCGGUUUUGCAAGUCAGAUGUGAAAGCCCCGGGCUUAACCUGGGAAUUGCGUUUGAAACUACAAGGCUAGAGUGCAGCAGAGGGGAGUGGAAUUCCAUGUGUAGCAGUGAAAUGCGUAGAGAUGUGGAAGAACACCGAUGGCGAAGGCAGCCUCCGUGGGUUGACACUGACGCUC